UCCUGCCUCAAGUUUUUGAGCAUCAUUUCCACACACUAAGGUAACAAAACCUGCUUUCUAAGUACAGUGCUUAAUGUCCUAAUUACUCUAGCUUAAGGUGCUUGACUAAAUUAACCUAUUCUUAUUACAUCAUGCUUCAAGGCAAGGAGGUGCUAUUUUGGUAGACCACCUGGAAAUAGCCAACAUUGAUGUUAUCUAUGGCUCCUCCGGAGAAGGUGCAGCAUUAGAGGCUGAGUUCAAAAUAUCCUUGAAUGCUUACCUGAAAGAGCUGGUAGCAUCCCCAGUAAGAACUUUGGCUGAUGUGAUAGCCUUCAACAACAAAUUCUCACAUUUGGUGAGUACAUUCAGGAGGGGUUUUAAUUAUUUACUUGCUGUUCUAGAUUCCGCUAGGAUUGUUAAAACCACAUUCUGAAAAGAUGACUAAUUUAAUUACUUGAGUAACUGCAGGAAAAGAUCAAGGAGUAUGGACAAGAUACCUUUCUGCAGGCCGAAGCCACAAAUGGGAUAAACAAGAAAACUUUGUUAAAAUUAGCAAGAUUGUCACGAAAUGGAUUUGAGAAGUUGAUGAAGGAGCAUAAGCUGGAUGCAUUGGUGACUCCUGGUUCAAAUGUGAGUCCUGUUCUUGCUAUUGGAGGAUUCCCUGGAAUUUCUGUUCCAGCUGGAUAUGAUAGCAAAGGAGUACCAUUUGGCAUUUGUUUUGGGGGCCUAAAGGGCUCUGAGCCAAAGCUAAUCGAGAUUGCAUAUAGCUUCGAGCAAGCAACUAAGAUUAGGAAGCCACCUUCAUUUAAACCUUGAAGGUUUAGAACAACUCCUAUCAGAGUUGUACUACAUGUAUCAGUAUCAAGAACUCUUCUCUCUAGUUGGUAAUCCUGCACUAGAAAGGAUAUUAUAAUAAAGUGCUCAAUGUUUUGAAUGAACUAAGAUGGUACAGAGGCUGGUUUUCUCCAAAUCAUCUAAAUUAUGAAGUUUCCCUCUACCAUUUACUGUUGUGAUUGGUGCCAUUACAGUGCACUACCCUCUGAAUAACCACUCAUUUAUUUGCAAUAAAACAUGCAGAAUUCAUACAUAUAUCCUAUGAUAAAUGUAGAGAUACAUGAGCAAAAAGGAUUAGAUAAAAAUGUAAAACGGGUAUCAAUACUAAGAUAAAAGUAGCUGUAAAUUUGAUUAUCCUUAAAUUGGUUUACACAACUUCUAACAGCAGCCAGCCACUGAAAUUAUUUGUAGUUACUAAUUUUAGAUGUCCUUUUAUGGGCCAAAAAGUUUCAUUAGCCUUUUAUGGGGCAAAAAAUUAGAACGUUCGUUAAAUUAACAAUGAACUUCCACUCCUACGUCUUCCAACUUUUUCUCCUUUUUUCUAGCCUUAUGACUAGCAGUAUCCAUCACCAUCACAGGCCAUGCAUUCUCAAUCAAAGAAGCAACUCUCCAUGUUUUCCAUAAGGCUUUCAAGCAAAAUAAACUCAAUUCAAGGCAGCUGGUUGAGUUCUAUAUUAGUGAAAUUCACAAAUUGAACCCAAUCCUUCAUGGGGGUAGUAGAGGUGAACCCGGACCCACUCCUCCAAGCAGAUAAUGCUGACAGAGAGCAAAAGGCUGGGUCACCCGGCUUGUUGCUUGGGAUGCAGGUGUGAUGAGGAGGUUAAGGCUUGGGCUAUAUAGUGAGGAAUCUCUUCUUUACGUUGAGUGGGGAAGUAACCCAGCCUAACCCCAACUGAUUUUGAUUAUAAAUAAAGUCUUAACUUCCUCUAGAAGUGUAUGCAGUAGCAUCUUCUUUUCAUUUAUGUUCUUCUAGUGACAAAGGUUGAAUCCAUGACGAACAAGGACAUGAAAAAACAAAAUUAUACCUAUAGAAGGAAAAGCUAAAAAAUGUUGCAGAUCAAUUAAUCAUGAGGUGGCUAAUCACAACUUCUGAAGGCCACCAAAUGACUUCUAAUGACCAAUUUUCAGGAGCGAUAAAAAGUUCAAUCAUGACAUAGAUACAAUUCGUCUAGAUGAGUAUUUGGUUUACCUCUUUCCAAAGCUUCAAGGUCACAGAUAUAAUAUGUUUAUAUCAUAUCAUCCAAAAGCCCCACGAAACUAAGGUAUGUUUGAUGACUAUUUUUAAGAAUUAAUUUUUAUUAUUUAGAAUAACAAAAAUAAGAAAACAUGUUUGAUAAUCAGAAAACAAAAGAUAUGAUGUUUUUAGAUAAUACUUUUUAAUUAUUUUUUUAGGACGAUAUUAAAAAAAUAGUUAUACAAAUAGAAAGAAUAAUUAAAAAUAAAGCUCUGUAUAUAAAAAUUAUUUUAAAAACAUAUUUACAAGUAUAAGAAACAAGUUAAGCAUAUUUUAGGUUACGUAAUUAACUUUUGUUUUACAAAAUAUCAAAAAAGGGUUUCAAAAUAUUGUUAUCAGAAGCUAUUUUUAAGAAUUAUUUUUGUGGGAUGGUGGUGACUUAGAGAAAAAAAUCUCACUUGAUGAAUUGGAACUUGGUUUGUACCAAUAAGAAAAAGGGGGGCCUUGUAAUUCAUAGAAUUGUGGAUUUAAACAAAGCCUUACUUAGGAAGUGGACCAGAUCAAUUAAUCUUAACGGCCACAAAAUGAUUUCAAAUGACCAAUUUUUGGAUGUACUUGUGUGGGGACGAAAAAUUUGAGUCACGACAUGUGGGACAUGUGGGCUAUGCAAUUUCAAGAGGAGCUAUCAUUAAUGUGCUCCAUUAUUGAAGCUAAAUGUCUGGAUAAGAAUUUUUUUGCCACUUUCAACAGUUUUAAGGCCAUAGAUACAAUUUGUUAGUGCCAUAUCAUCCGGAAGCCCCAAGACACCAAUAUACUCAACCUUAGAUAUAUUUAUACACUCUUAUCAAGCCUACUUCCAAGUUGAAUAACUGGUGAAAUCAAGUCAAUACAAUAAUGUCCAUCCAUUUCCAUGUCUCCACACUAUUUCUCCUUCCUCUAGUCUUACUACCGUCUGGAUCCAUUGCCAUCACAGGCCAUGCAUUUUCAAUCGAAGAAGCAACUGUCCAUGACUUCCAUAUGGCUUUCGAACAAAACAAACUCACCUCAAGGCAGCUGGUUGAGUUCUACCUGGGCAAGAUUCACAAACUCAACCCAAUUCUUCGUGGGGUAAUAGAGGUGAACCCAGAUGCACUCCUCCAAGCUGAUAAGGCCGACAGGGAGAGGAAGGCUAAGUUACCUGGGUCGCUGCUGGGGCUGCACGGCAUUCCUAUAUAUUCUGCUUAAGGAUAAUAUUGCAACCAAGGACAAGAUGAACACAACAGCAGGAUCAUUUGCAUUGCUUAAAUCAGUGGUGCCAAGGGAUGCAGGCGUGGUGAGGAAGUUGAGGAAGGCUGGAGCUAUCAUACUGGGAAAGGCUAGCCUCAGCGAGUGGGCUGCUUUUCGUGCUACUGCUACUCCUUCGGGCUGGUGUGCUAGAACUGGCCAAGGUAAGGUAAGUUGUGAUCCAAAACUCAAAUUUUCCGACGGUAGUUAGCUUACAUUUUGGUUCUCAUCCUCCCCGGUAAAGAUAUGAACAGAUAUAGGCAGAUGGAAAUUAUACCCAAUAAUUUUUUAAUCAAAUUCUUAGAAGGGGAAAAGCUUUUCUGUUUAAGGAGAAUUUGUGUACUCGUUGGAAAUUUCUGCUGUUUUGCAUUUAUCCUGAGAAGUUUGUGUUUGUUUGUCAGGAAAAGCAGAGUUACUCUAUGAUUUCUAUAGCAUAUUAAAUGUAGAAAGUGGAAUUUACUAAUUUCCAAUUUCUCAUUCCAGUCAGUGUAAGUCUCCUCGUGAACUUGAACAUACACGCCAAAAAAGAUCAAAAAAAAAAAAAUUAGAAUCUGAAUACAUGAAUCUGCACUAUGAUGCUGCACGCCAAAAAAGAUAACGAGUUUAGACACGUUUGCCAAAGGAGUGAAAAGUGUGUGGAGCAUCUGGCCGGAGUCGCCAUUAAAAGGAAAAAAGCUUCUUUCCAUUUAGCAUUCACACUAUGGUUGUCAAAUGGGUUUCAGUCUGUCAUUAUGUCCUACAACAAUCAUUCACCAUCAGUGGGUGUACCAAAAGAUUCUUCCUAUCAAUCAUAUCUUUUUUAUCUGCCCACUCAAAUGUGUGGAAAUUUUAUUUUUUUAAGGGUCUAUUGAUUCUGCCCAACAUUCUGUUUCGAGUUGUCAUAUUUCUCUAGCAUUCUUGUGUUUCUAAUACUAAGUAUAUGGGAUAAGAGAUUGAACAAAAACAAGAAGCCUCAAACUACCGUUGAUUGCAAAAGGGAAGAAGAUUAAGGAUGAAAAUAGGACUACAAUGUGUUGCAUAAACAGUUUUAUGAAUCUUAAGCCUACGAUUUCAUUGGUGUGCAGAACCCUUAUGUUCUAUCAGCAACUCCCUGUGGCUCAAGUAGUGGAUCAGCUAUAUCAGUAGCAGCAAAUUUAGCGGCAGUGUCUCUAGGGACGGAGACUGAUGGAUCCAUCUUAUGUCCAUCCCACAUUAAUUCAGUAGUGGGCAUCAAACCAACACUUGGUCUCACCAGCCGAGCUGGCGUGGUUCCAAUCUCUCCUAGGCAGGACACUGUUGGGUAGGUGAUGCUUCAUCUUCCUAAAUCCAAAUAUGAAACUAUCAUCUGUUGAACAACCAAAGAUAGCAGACUGCUCAAACAUAUUUGAUGCAACAGGCCCAUCUGCAGGACAGUCUCCGAUGCUGUCGAGGUACUGGAUGUCAUUGUUGGUUUUGACUACAGGGAUGAAGCAACCAGGACAGCAUCCAAGUACAUACCACAAGGUGGCUAUAAGCAAUUUCUCAAUGCAAAUGGGCUCAAGGGGAAGAGAUUGGGGAUAGUGAGGAAUCCCUUCUAUAUGUUUGGGAAUGGCUCUGUCCUCCCUCAAGUUUUUGAGCAUCAUUUCCACACACUCAGGUAACAAAACCUGCUUUCUAAGUACAGUGCUUAAUACCCUAAUGACUCUAGCUUAAGGUGCUUGACUAAAUUAACAUAUUCUUAUUACAUCAUUCCACAAAGGCAAGGAGGUGCUAUUUUGGUAGAUCACCUGGAAAUAGCCAACAUUGAUGUUAUCUAUGGCUCCUCCGGAGAAUAUGCAGCAUUAGAGGCUGAGUUCAAAACAUCCUUGAAUGCUUACCUGAAAGAGCUGGUAGCAUCCCCAGUAAGAACUUUGGCUGAUGUGAUAGCCUUCAACAACAAAUUCUCACAUUUGGUUAGUACAUUCAGGAGAGGUUUUCAUUAUUUACUUGUUGUUCUAGAUUCCGCUAGGAUUGUUAAAACCACAUUCUGAAAAGAUGACUAAUUUAAUUACUUGGGUAACUGCAGGAAAAGAUAAAGGAGUAUGGACAAGAUAUCUUUCUGCAAGCCGAAGCCACAAAUGGGAUAAACAAGAAAACUUUGUUAAAAUUAGCGAGAUUGUCACGAAAUGGGUUUGAGAAGUUGAUGAAGGAGCAUAAGCUGGAUGCAUUGGUGACACCUGGUUCAGAUGUUAGAACUAUUCUUGCUAUUGGAGGAUUCCCUGGAAUUUCUGUUCCAGCUGGAUAUGACAGCGAAGGAGUACCAUUUGGCAUUUGUUUUGGGGGCCUAAAGGGCUCUGAGCCAAAGCUGAUCGAGAUUGCAUAUAGCUUCGAGCAAGCAACUAAGAUUAGGAAGCCACCUUCAUUUAAACCUUGAAGGUUUAGAACAACUCCUAUCAGAGCUGUACUACAUAUAUCAGUAUCAAGAACUCUUCACUCUAGAUAGUAAUCCUGCACUAGAAAGGAUGUUAUAAUAAACUGCUCAAUGUUUUGAAUAAACUAAGAUGAUAUGGAUGUUGGUUUUCUCCAAAUCAUCUAAAUUAUGAAGUUUCCCUCUACCAUUUACUGUUGUGAUUGGUGUCAUUACAGUGCACUGUCCUCUGAAUAACCACUCAUUUAUCUGUAAUGAAACAUGCAGAAUUCAUACAUAUAUCCUAUGAUCAAUGUAGAGAUACAUGAGCAAAAAGGACUAGAUAAAAAUGUAAAACGGGUAUCAAAACUAAGGUAAAAGUAGAUGCAGAUUUGAUUAUUCUUAAGUUGGUUUACACAACUUUUAACAGCAGCCAGCACUGAAAUUAUUUGUAGUUGCUAAUUUCAGAUGUCCUUUUAUGGGCCAAAAAGUUUCAUUAGCCUUUUAUGGGGCAAAAAAUUAGAAUGUCCAUUAAGUUAACAAUGAACAUCCAUUCGUAAGUCUUCCGACUUUUUAUCCUUUCUUCUAACCUUAUGACUAGCAGUAUCCAUCACCAUCACAGGCCAUACAUUCUCAAUCAAAGAAGCAACUCUCCAUGUUUUCCAUAAGGCUUUCAAACAAAAUAAACUCAAUUCAAGGCAGCUGGUUGAGUUCUACAUUAGUGAAAUUCACAAACUGAACCCAAUCCUUCAUGGGGGUAGUAGAGGUGAACCCGGACGCACUCCUCCAAGCAGAUAAAGCUGACAGGGAGCAAAAGGCUAGGUCACCUGCCUUGUUGCUUGGGAUGCAGGUGUGCUGAGGAGGUUAAGGCUUGGGCUAUAUAGUGAGGAAUCUCUUCUUUACGUCGAGUGGGGAAGUAACCCAGCCUAACCCCAAUUGAUUUUGAUUAUAAAUCAAGUCUUCCUCUAGAAGUGUAUGCAGUAGCAUCUUCUUUUCAUAUAUGUUCUUCUAGUGACAAAUGUUGAAUCCAUGACGAACAAGGACAUGAAAAAACAGAAUCACACCUAUAGAAGGAAAAGCUAAAAAAUGUUGUAGAUCAAUUAAUCAUAAGGUGGCUAAUCACAACUUCUGAAGGCCACCAAAUGACUUCUAAUGACCAAUUUUCAGAUGUGCUUCGGUGGGAGCGAAAAAGUUCAAUCAUGACAUAGGUAUAAUUUGUCUAGAUGAGUAUUUGGCUUACCUCUUUCAAAAGCUUUAAGGCCACUAAUAUAAUUUGUUCAUAUCAUAUCAUCCCAAAGCCCUUAGAAACUAAGGUGUGUUUGAUGACUAUUUUUAAGAAUAAUUUUCUAUUAUUUAAAAUAACAAAAAUAGGAAAACAUGUUUGAGAAUCAGAAAACAAAAAAUAUGGUAUUUUUAGAAAAUACUUUUAAAUUAUUUUCAAUUAUUUUCACUUAUUUUUUUGGACCAUAUUAAAAAAUAAUUUUAUAAAUACGAAGAACAAUUAAAAAUAAAACUCUAUAUAUAGAAUUUAUUUUAAAAAUAUAAAAAACAAGUUAAGCAUAUUUUAUAUUACUUAAUGAACUUUUACUUCACAAAAUAUCAAAAUAUAAACCCUUUUUUAGAAUUAUUUUUCGAAAACACUUCUCACAGAAGAUCAUCGUGUACUCCAUAUAUAUACACGCACUGUCAUCCAGCCUACUUUCAAAUUGAACAACUGGUGAAAUCAAAUCAAUACACAAUGUCCAUCCAUUCCACUAUCUCCACAGUAUUUUUCCUCCUUCCAGCCUUAGUUCUAUCUGGAUCUGCUGCCAUCACAGGCCCUGAAUUCUCAAUCAAAGAAGCGACUGUCCAUGACUUCCGUAUGGCUUUCAAACAAAACAAACUCACCUCAAGGUAGAUGGUUAGGUUCUACCUGGGUGAAAUGCACAAACUCGACCCAAUUCUUCAUGGGGUAAUAGAGGUGAACCCAGAUGCACUCCUCCAAGCCGACAAGGCUGACAGGGACAGGAAGGCUAAGUUACCUGGAUCACUGCUGGGGCUACAUGGCAUUCAUAUUCUGCUUAAGGAUAAUAAUGCAACCAAGGACAAGAUGAACACAACAGCUGGGUCAUUUGCACUGCUUAAAUCAGUCGUUGUCUACGGAUGCAGGCGUGGUGAGGAAGUUGAGGAAGGUUGGGGCUAUCAUACUGGGAAAGGCUAGCCUGAGUGAGUGGGCUGGUUCACGCUUUGCUACUCCUUAUGGCUGGUGUGCCAGAGCUGGCCAAGGUCGGGUAAAUUAGGAUCCAAAACUCGAUUUUUCUGAUGGUUGUUAGCUUACAUUUUGGUUCUCGUCCUGCCCAGAAAAGUCCUGUAAACAUGAACAGAUAUAGGAGGAUGGAAAUUAUACCCAAUUAUUUUCAAUCAAAUUCUGAGAAGGGACAAAGCUUUUCUGUAUGCGUAGAACUUGUGUCCUCCUGGGAAAUUUCUGUUGUCAGGGAAGCACAUUUUCUCUUUGAUAUCUAGCACAUUAAAUUGAAGAAAAUGGAAUGUACUCAUUUCCAGUUUCUCAAUCUAGACAGAGUAAGAGUCCCCGUGAAUUUGAACACUUGAAUCUGUACUUAUGUAGCUACACGCCAAAAAGGAUGUAACAUUUUAGAAUCUGACCACGUGAGUCUGCACUAUGAUGCUGCAUGCCAAAGAAGGAAAAAAACAAAUCUUAGACGUAUUUGCCAAAGGAGAAGGUGAAAAGGAGGUGUGAAUUGAAACCCACUUUUUAGAUUAAGAAUGGACCCAGCAAGAUAGUGGAAAAUGCGUGGAGCAUUUGGUCAGGGUCACCAUUAGAGAAGCAAUAAAGCUUCCUUCCAGUGAUCAUUCACAGUAAGGUUUUCAAAUAGGUUUCAAUCUGCAAUUGAUUUGUCCUGCAUCAAUAACUCACCAUCAGUGGAAGAACCAAGCCACUCGUCAUAUGAAUCGUAUCUCUUCUUGAUCUGCCCCACUCAAAUGUGCUCACUGAUUCUGUCUAACAAUCUGUUUUACGAUAUAUGUUUCUUGCAUAACAACAUAUAACAGUUGUAUCGUGUUGCAUAAACGGUUUUAUAACUCUGAAAUAUAUGAUUUCAAUGGUGUGCAGAACCCUUAUGUUCUGUCAGAAACUCCUUGUGGCUCAAGUAGUGGAUCAGCUAUAUCAGUAGCAGCAAAUUUGGCAGCAGUGUCUCUAGGGACGGAGACUGAUGGAUCCAUCUUAUAUCCAUCCCACAUUAAUUCAGUAGUGGGCAUCAAACCAAUGUUUGUUUUUUGGCUGAAUAAAAAAAGCCAAAAUAUUUAGUUUUUUCUAUUUAACUAAAAGUAACUCAUUGAUAUCAACUAACAUAAUUAAAUUAAAUUUAUUGAUAAUAAGUUCACUUUAAUUGUAUUGAUUAAUAUCAACGAGGUACUUUUAACUUAAUAGGAAAAACCAAAUAUUUUGGUUUUUUCUAUUCAACCAAAAAACAAACACUACCACUACUGUCUCACCAACCGAGCUGGUGUGGUUCCAAUCUCUCCUAGGCAGGACACUGUUGGGUAGGUGAUGCUUCAUCUUCCUAAAUCCAAAUAUGAAACUAUCAUCUGUUGAGCAAUCAAAGAGACCAGACUGCUCCAUCUGAUUGCCAAACAGAAAAGGGAGAAAUGACGAUGAAAAGUUGGGAUCAUACAACUAUUUAAGAUUUCAAAUGAUGAUUUUCAGUAGUAAAUUCUGUAUUUCCUCUCUUCAUCCACGAGCCAAUCAAGCAUCAAUGAAUGUAACUGGAUUCUGUUGCAUACAAUUCAAGAUCUUCACAUGCUUCUGUUAAUUAGUAGGUUUUGGUAUAAAUCUGCUUGCUUUUGAAUCAUCAACAUAUGCUUCACUACUUGGUUUUUGACUGGAGAAACUUUGUAGUUUUGUUAUAUCCACUGGUAUCAGAACACAAUGGUGUUAAUUCUAGUAAGGACUCUUAACAUGUUGGAUGCAACAGGCCCAUCUGUAGGACAGUCUCCGAUGCUGUAGAGGUACUGGAUGUCAUUGUAGGUUUUGAGAAGAGGGAUGAAGCAACCAGGACAGCAUCCAAGUACAUACCACUAUAUGCAAUUUCUCAAUGCCAAUGGGCUAGCUCAAGGGGAAGAGAUUGGGGAUAGUAAGGAAUCCCUUCUAUAUGUUUGAGAAUGGCUGUGUCCUGACUAAAGUUUUUGAGCAUCAUUUCCACACACUAAGGUACUAAAACCUGCUUUCUAAGUACAGUGCUUAAUGGCCUAAUGACUCUAGAUUAAGGAGCUGGCCCUAAUUUAACCUAUUGUUAUUACAUCAUGCUACAGGGCAAGGAGGUGCUAUUUUGGUAGACCACCUGGAAAUAGCCAACAUUGAUGUUAUAUUUGGCUCCUCCAGAGAAGAAGCAACAUUAGAGGCGGAGUUCAAAAUAUCCUUGAAUGCUUACCUGAAAGAGCUGGUAGCAUCCCCAGUAAGAACUUUGGCUGAUGUGAUCGCCUUCAACAACAAAUUCUCACAUUUGGUAAAUACAAUCAGAAGGGGUUUUCAUAAUUUAUUUGAUGUUCUAGAUUCAAAUAAAGAUUGUCAAAAUCACAUUCUGGAAAGAUGACCAAUUUUCUUGGGCAACUUCAGGAGAAAAUCAAAGAAUAUGGACAAGACAGCUUUCUGCGAGCCGAAGCCAC
rnacentral:lncRNA from 1 species